AACUCUGGCUCAGAGGCGGAUGAUGAAACCCAGCUCACCUUUUACACCGAGCAGUACCGGAGCAGGAGGCGAAGCAAAGGUUCGAUGAAAAGCCCUGUCAACAAGACAGCCCUGACUCUGAUUGCCGUCAGCUCCUGCAUCCUGGCCAUGGUGUGUGGCUCUCAGCUCUCCUGCCCGCUGACUGUCAAGGUGACGCUUCAUGUCCCCGAGCACUUCAUUGCUGAUGGCAGCAGCUUUGUUGUGAGCGAAGGGAGCUACCUGGACAUCUCCGACUGGCUGAACCCAGCCAAGCUGUCCCUUUAUUAUCAGAUCAAUGCCACCUCUCCCUGGGUGAGAGAUCUCUGUGGCCAGAGGACCACCGAUGCCUGUGAACAGCUGUGUGACCAAGAGACAGGGGAGUGCAGCUGUCAUGAAGGCUAUGCCCCGGACCCCAUGCAUCGCCACCUGUGUGUGCGCACUGAUUGGGGACACAGUGAAGGGCCAUGGCCCUACACCACACUUGAGAGAGGAUACGACUUGGUCACAGGAGAGCAGGCACCGGAGAAGAUACUCAGGUCCACCUAUAGUCUGGGACAAGGCCUGUGGCUGCCUGUCAGUAAGAGCUUCGUGGUGCCCCCCGUGGAGCUCUCUAUCAAUCCUCUUGCCAGCUGCAAGACAGAUGUUCUGGUGACGGAAGAUCCGGCAGAUGUCAGGGAAGAAGCAAUGCUGUCCACCUACUUUGAAACCAUCAAUGAUUUGCUCUCCUCUUUCGGGCCGGUCCGGGAUUGCUCCCGCAACAACGGCGGCUGCACCCGCAACUUCAAGUGCGUUUCGGAUCGCCAGGUGGAUUCAACGGGCUGCGUGUGCCCUGAGGACCUCCGGCCCAUGAAGGAUGGCACCGGCUGCUAUGAUUACUCCAAAGGCAUCGACUGCUCAGAUGGCUUCAACGGCGGCUGCGAGCAGCUCUGCCUGCAGCAGACCCUCCCCCUGCCCCACGACCCCUCCUCCAGCACCAUCUUCAUGUUCUGCGGGUGUGUGGAAGAGUACAAGCUGGCCCCUGAUGGCAAGUCCUGCCUCAUGCUGUCCGACAUCUGCGAGGGCCCCAAGUGCCUGAAGUCGGAUGCCAAGUUCAACGACACACUCUUUGGGGAGAUGCUGCACGGCUACAACAACAGGAGUCAACACGUCAACCAGGGCCAGGUGUUCCAGAUGACUUUCAGGGAGAACAACUUCAUCAAGGACUUCCCGCAGCUGGCUGAUGGGCUGCUGGUCAUCCCGCUGCCCGUGGAGGAGCAGUGCCGUGGAGUGCUGUCUGAGCCCCUGCCCGACCUCCAGCUUCUCACUGGAGACAUCAAGUAUGACGAGGCGAUGGGUUACCCCAUGGUGCAGCACUGGCGGGUCAGGAGCAACCUGUACCGCGUGAAGCUCAGCUCCAUCACCCUCUCUUCAGGCUUCGCCAACAUCCUGAAGAUCCUGAACAAAGACAGCAGCCGGGAGGAGCUGCUCUCCUUCAUCCAGCAGUUUGGCUCCCACUACAUCGCUGAGGCUCUGUACGGCUCCGAGUUCAGCUGCACCAUCCACUUCCCCAGCAAGAAGGUGCAGCAGCAGCUGUGGCUCCAGUACCAGAAAGAAACAACUGAGCUGGGGAACAAAAAGGAAUUGAAAUCCAUGCCGUUCAUCACCUAUCUCUCGGGCUUGCUGACAGCACAGAUGCUUUCUGACGACCACCUCAUCUCAGGUGUGGAGAUCCACUGUGAGGAGAAAGGGCGCUGCCCAUCCACGUGCCACUUGUGCCGGCGCCCAGGCAAGGAGCAGCUCAGCCCCACGCCGGUCCUGCUGGAGAUCAACCGUGUGGUGCCCCUGUAUGCCCUGAUCCAGGACAACGACACCAGGGAGGCUUUCAGAGGCGCGCUGAUGAGCUCAUAUUGGUGCUCUGGGAAAGGCGACGUGAUCGAAGACUGGUGCAGGUGUGACCUCAACGCCUUCGACGAGAACGGGCUCCCGAACUGCAGCCCCCUCCCUCAGCCUGUCCUGCGGCUGUCCCCCAGUGUGGAGCCCUCCAGCACUGUGGUCUCCCUGGAGUGGCUGGACGUGCAGCCUGCCAUUGGGACGAAGGUGUCUGACUACGUCCUGCACCACAAGAAGGUGGACGAGUACACAGACACAGACCUCUACACAGGAGAAUCUUUAAGCUUUGCAGAUGAUUUGCUUUCUGGCCUUGCAACGUCCUGUGUGGCAGCGGGUCGGAGCCAUGGAGAUGUCCCUGAAACCAGCCUCUACUCAGUUAUUUUCAAGUGCCUGGAACCAGAUGGUCUCUACAAGUUCACUCUGUAUGCGGUGGACACACGAGGGAGACACUCUGAGCUGAGCACGGUCACCCUGAGGACAGCCUGCCCACUGGUAGAUGACAGCAAGGCAGAAGAGAUAGCUGACAAAAUCUACAACCUCUACAAUGGCUACACCAGUGGGAAGGAGCAGCAGACAGCCUACAACACGCUGAUGGAGGUCUCUGCUUCCAUGCUGUUCCGAGUCCAGCACCACUACAACUCCCACUAUGAGAAGUUUGGAGACUUUGUCUGGCGUAGUGAGGACGAGCUGGGGCCCAGGUACCCACCUUUAUCCUGCAUCCUCCCAGCCCUGCUGCCUUCUCACAGCUGAGAGAAGUUCUCUCCUGUUAUUUGCCAUCCAAUGGUGUUGACCAGUCCCUGCUUGGUCUUUGAUAAAUGCUUGUGGGACAGCUGAAGUGGGUGGUGCUGCAGGGUACUGGGAACACUGUGGAGGAGACCAGAAGGUCUUAAUCAAGGACAGUGCAUGGUCUGUGUGUAAGCCAGCACUUGGAUGUUAUCAGAGAGGAUCAACAACGAAGCAAAAUUCUAAGGAGUAAAAUUGUCUCUACUACGUAGUAUUUUUCAUGGACUUUCCCUUCUGCUGAUUUCUCUCUCUAUUGGACCUGGCACAUCUUCAUCCUUGCUGUGCCAUAUGGUUGCUGUACAAGCUGUAAAUAUUUCCAAAGAUCCCUUUUCCAUCUUCACUCUCCCAUAACAAUAAUUCAAUUCAUUGAUGCAGGUGCUAAGAAGAUUGUCCUUAAUUUCAUUGCUGUGGUGUCCCUGGUAUCAUGCAAGCAGUGUUUGGGAGGUCAUAGCCCUGUGGACAAGUUACAAUCUCUUACAGAAUUCAAGUAGCCUUGAAGCUUUUGUAGACACUGCUCUUGAAUCACCCUUAUCUAACUUUGGAUGGGAGCCUAGGGAGUCUGAUCUGGUGCUGAAUUUAGUGGUUGGCAACUACUGGAACUAGGUCCCUUCCAACCCAAGCCAUUAUAUGAUUCUUUGUUGUUAAACUGGAGCAGGGAAGGAUGGAGGAGCAUGGUUGGGCUGUCUGUGAAUAAGAAUUUCCUUCUUUCUCCUCGACUCCUGUCUGCUUGUUGGACACGAGCGAGGAUCUGUCCAUAAUACCAGGAUGACAGCACUUCACAACAGCUUCUCCUCUCCCAGACAUAAAUCCAGGCUGGCCUGGUGCUUGCCCUCCCACAGAAACGACCUUGGUCAUAAUUUCUUUGAUAGUUCAUUAGCGCCUGACGCUGAGCCAUUCUUCCUUCCCACCGCCUUCCUCCUUCUCUGAUGACACUGCAGACUUGUUUGUCCUUUCCAACUGCUCCUCUCUCUCUGAGCCCCUGGGGUCCAUCAGCCUCUUCUUACACUCUUCUUACUCUUCUUAUUUCCCUUGUCACUUGAGAUCCAACUUAUUGCAGCAUGUUAGCUACCCUGAUACCUGCACUGAGCCGCCAGAUUUGCAAGGUGACAUUUAAAUAACCCGCAUUGUUACACUCCAUACCAAGCUUCAUCUGGAGCCAGUGGUCGAUUCGGCUGCUGUCUGCCUUCCUCGCCAGGCAGAUGAUCCCUUGCAGAGCUCAUGUGCCCCCACUCCAUGAUUGAGCAGUGUGUGACCUGCAGCCAAGGGGAAAUGCAGCAGCACUCGAUGCCAGACUGACAAGAGCAGAGCUCUGCAUCCCGCCCAGCAUCGCCGGGAGCUGGGACAGAAGCGGAGGCACUGACGUAGGGAGGAUUUGCCAAGGGAGGCCAUCUCGUAACGCGAUUUUAAUUGACGGGCUGUUCUCCUUCCCAGAGGAACAUUCAUUUUCAUACCUUGAAAUGUUUAUCAGAUGAGCCUCAGAUUCGCAGUAAAUGUUCGCUCAUAAAACUGAGCGACAAGAGGGAAGUUGAUUGCCUCCGUGUAAUAAAUACAUCACACUGGAGUCCUCGUGAGCCCAGUUUCCAUGAAAGCCACAGGUUACUGCAAACAGCUGCUCGCGAGAAGACACGCUGACAGCCAGAUGUCCCAACCAGACGGUUUACAUUAAGGAGACAUUAAAAACUUAGCUCAUAGGUGGCCCUAAACCAGGACUUUCUGUGGUCAGCAGCAUCUUGGCACCUGGCUUGCUUCAUCCUGCUCGUCUCCUUCAGCAACAACAACCCCUUUCCUGCUCCCCCCAUUCCUCCUACAAACACCAAAUGAGUCUCGCAGAGUUAAUUUGUUCCAACAAAACAGAAGAAUCUGUCUAAAGCAGUGAAGGUUUAAUGCUACUGUGUGUUCAGACCUUUGGAUCGGUGCAGCAAGAGCGCUUCCUGACAUGGCAACAGGGAGAUUUCUUUAUUAUUUUCUCAUACUGUAUUUUUGGACAGUCCCUGUGACCACUGCAAACAGAGCCUGGCUUUUAGGAGGAGGCGGGAGAAAGAAUUAGGUUAAAAUCUUCCUUCUGUGCCCCAGCCUGCGGCUACCAGGAACAGCAAGGUCAGGAUGUGGGGCUCACAGCUCUCCUUCCCUCAGGCAGGUCCCCAGGCAGCAGCCGGGGCGGCCUCAUGAGAUCAGUGCAUCCCCAGAGCAGCUGCCUUCUGGUACUGAGGGGAAUGCAAUGUACUGAUGGGAGGCUGUGAUAAGAGGCCAUCGAGUCCCGGACUCAUUAUCCUCUCAGAUGAGGGUCUGACAGACCUGGGUCAGUUCUCAGUAGAGUGGAAAAAUCUGAAUCGAUGACAAAAUCGUCCCAUAUGGGAACAGACAGGCAGCCAGCCUCUCCUGCAGCAGACCAAGGAAGCUUGUCCUCCCUCUCACUUGGCACCUUCCUUGGCAGUCCCCCCUUCCCCUCCUCACCCCACACCAAGAGGGGAGCAGCCAUGCAAGGUCAUCACUAUUUGAAUCCCUCUCUCCACCAUUUAUGAUGUGGGUGAUGACCUCCUAAAUCCAUCACUCAAGAACUGGUCCCCGGGGACACCCAGAGUGGGGACACCCUGCAGUGGAGCUGGGCUACGGGGGAGCAAAAAGGGGCUGCUUCAUCCCUUGGAGGGCUGGGAGCUGGCCGUGAAAAUGACCCCCGCCUCGCUCCCCUGCUGUCCUCUCUUGAUUCCUGCCCUUUAAUAAGGAAGGCACACCUGAUCCUGCGGAGGCUGGAGAAAGUCAGCAGUCACUGCUCAACACUGCUCCGCAGCUCCUACAUCCAGAGCCGCAC